rnacentral:lncRNA from 1 species
CCUUGGAUCCAAAAAGCAGCAAAGAAAACCAAACAAGGACACCUAAACAACAAAGACUAAACUAGACCGAAAGACCCUCCAUCAAUUAAAGAUAGACGGACUCAAGUUCCAGCUCUGUUGCAGCCUUCUGUUCGUCGGGGUAUCCAAGACAUGCUUGAACGUCAUCGCUUUGUCUUUAAUUGCCUUACAAAGAUGCAUCUUCAUCGCCGGGAUAAAGUGAGUCUGAUUCCGGAAGAUGAUGUUAUUGCGCUCUUUCCAUAUUAUGUAGCAAAGAGCACCAAAG